CUUUCUACUCAACUCUAAACGACCCCCAACAGAAUGCUUAGCCUUCACAGUAUUCUAGUUCACACUAGGGUCAAUCAAGUUUGUUCUGAUUCUCGCUGGUAGAAAAACUGUAUCCUCCAAAAGGAAUACAGGUCUUAGGAUCCUGCAGACACUUUCAACACAUGUACAUGUUAAAGUAGCUGUAUAGUAAGUAGAAAGGGCUAAAAGGAUACUAAUCC
rnacentral:lncRNA from 1 species